rnacentral:rRNA from 1 species
UACAGGGGGUGCAAACGUUGCUCGGAAUUAUUGGGCGUAAAGCGCGCGUAGGCGGCUACUUAAGUCGGAUGUGAAAGCCCCUGGCUCAACUGGGGAAGUGCACCCGAAACUGAGUGGCUUGAGUGCGAAAGAGGGUCGCGGGAAUUCCCCGGGUGAUUAGAGGUGAAAUUCGUAGAUAUCGGGAGGAACACCGGUGGCGAAGGCGGC